rnacentral:rRNA from 1 species
AGCGAACGCUGGCGGCAGGCCUAACACAUGCCAGUCGAACGGAUCCUUCGGGAUUAGUGGCGGACGGGUGAGUAACACGUGGGAACGUGCCCUUUGGUUCGGAACAACUCAGGGAAACUUGAGCUAAUACCGGAUGUGCCCUUCGGGGGAAAGAUUUAUCGCCCUUGGAGCGGCCCGCGUCUGAUUAGCUAGUUGGUGAGGUAAUGGCUCACCAAGGCGACGAUCAGUAGCUGGUCUGAGAGGAUGAUCAGGCACAUUGGGACUGGGACAAGGCACUAACUACUACGGGAGGCAGCAGUGGGGAAUCUUGCGCAAUGGGCGAAAGCCUGACGCAGCCAUGACGCGUGAAUGAUGAAGGUCUUAGGAUUGUAAAAUUCUUGCACCGGGGACGAUAAUGACGGUACCCGGAGAAGAAGCCCCGGCUAACUUCGUGCCAGCCGCCGCGGUAAAAC